AGCGAACGCUGGCGGCAGGCUUAACACAUGCAAGUCGAGCGGGCAUCCUCGGAUGUCAGUGGCAGCCGGGUGAGUAACACGGAGGAACGUAUCCUUCGGUUCGGAACAACGCUGGGAAACUGGAGCUAAUACCGGAUACGCCCUCAUGGGGCAUGGGUUACUGACGAAGGAUCGGUCGGUGUCAGAUUAGGUAGUUGGUGGGAUAACGGCCUACCAAGUCGACGAUCUGUAGCUGGUCUGAGAGGACGAUCAGUCACACUGGGACUGAGACAGGGCACAGACUCCUGCGGGAGGCAGCAGUGGGGAAUUUUGGACAAUGGGGGAAUGCCUGAUAUAGUAAUGCCGCGUGUGUGAUGAAGGCGUCCGGGUUGUAAAGCAAUUUUGGCGGGAACGAAAAAGACUGUGCCAAUACCACGGUUCGAUGACGGUACCCGCAGAAUAAGCACCGGCUAACUACGUG
rnacentral:rRNA from 1 species